UACGUAGGGUGCAAGCGUUGUCCGGAAUUAUUGGGCGUAAAGAGCUCGUAGGCGGUUUGUCGCGUCGAAUGUGAAAACCCGGGGCUCAACCCCGGGCCUGCAUUCGAUACGGGCAGACUAGAGUUCGGUAGGGGAGUCUGGAAUUCCUGGUGUAGCGGUGAAAUGCGCAGAUAUCAGGAGGAACACCGGUGGCGAAGGCGGUUCUCUGGGCAUUACCUGACGCUGGAGGCGCGAAAGCCAGGGGAGCAAACGGG
rnacentral:rRNA from 1 species